rnacentral:rRNA from 1 species
GAUGAACGCUGGCGGCGUGCCUAAUACAUGCAAGUCGAGCGAACAGACGAGGAGCUUGCUCCUCUGACGUUAGCGGCGGGCGGGUGAGUAACACGUGGAUAACCUACCUAUAAGACUGGGAUAACUUCGGGAAACCGGAGCUAAUACCGGAUAAUAUAUUGAACCGCAUGGUUCAAUAGUGAAAGACGGUUUUGCUGUCACUUAUAGAUGGAUCCGCGCCGCAUUAGCUAGUUGGUAAGGUAACGGCUUACCAAGGCGACGAUGCGUAGCCGACCUGAGAGGGUGAUCGGCCACACUGGAACGGAGACACGGUCCAGACUCCUACGGGAGGCAGCAGUAGGGAAUCUUCCGCAAUGGGCGAAAGCCUGACGGAGCAACGCCGCGUGAGUGAUGAAGGUCUUCGGAUCGUAAAACUCUGUUAUUAGGGAAGAACAAAUGUGUAAGUAACUAUGCACGUCUUGACGGUACCUAAUCAGAAAGCCACGGCUAACUACGUG